GUCUUUUUUUCAGUUUCUCGAUAACCAGUGUGGGGCAUCAGAGUCACAGUUGGUGACUGAUUGAUGAAUUUAACUUCGGUGUUAACCCCCAGUUUUGGGAGCAUCUGCUCUCCCUUUUUCAGCCUGCCCUGAUCUUGGCAUUUUCAGUGUGGAUUGCCCCAGGCACACUCGGUCACACUAAGCACUGAAGUUAAAUUAAUAGUGUUUUUUAUGACACAGUGAUAUGAAAUCAACUGAACUCCUUUGUUUUCUUUCAUCUGAACAGGGUUUCCAGUUUCCAAACCUCAUAUAAUCUCCCAGCUGGAACAAGGGGAACAGCCAUGGGUCCCAGACCUCCAGGGUUCAGAGGAAAGAGAGAUCCUGAGAAUUCCCUGCACAGGAGACGCCUUCCACCAACAUGCAUGGCAGAAGAACCAGAGAGAGAUGAACUCUCAGAAGUGUUGGGACAAACCACAACUUGAGCCAAGAUUCAGGUGUUGGCAAUGGGGAUUAAAAGAAAACUAACGUAUAUGACCAGAAUUUGUGAUUUUUGAAUAUAUUAGUGUUACUAGUGAAAAUGAAAUUAUAGGUAAUGUUAUUGGUUAAAGAGUAAGAGACUAAUUGUUUGAUAAUCUGAAUUAUUUUGGAAAACUGAAAGUUGUCUUGUUUUUUCUUUUUUUAGUUGUACAGGAAAUGAUGUCCAAUCUUCAAAAGUUAAUUUGAUUUAAUUUGCCUCCUGUAGUGUAAGGAGCUCUGGUAGAAAACCUCACUCCAAAGGUUGGGGUGGGAGAAUAGGUGUUAGAAAGAGUGUAUAAGAGAAUAUUGGGUCUAUAUAGAUUUUAUUUUUUUGUAUUUCAAAUAGAGCAUAUUUUGCUUAGCUUCAAAGUCAAUUUCUAUUAAAAGGAAAACUACUCGAGGAGACAAGUUGUAUAAGUUUUUACCCACUUAAACUGUAAGCAUCACUGUGGUGCUUCAAGGAAGGCAGGGCCCUGGCUCCUGGGGACUAGCAAUCACUGCACUAGAUUGAAGUCUGAGGUGACAAUCUACUUAGGUAGGAAAGGUAACUGUUAAAAAGUGUAGGUUGCGUUUUGUGAUUUUAUUUUGUUGGUAACAGUUGAUUUCCAUCAUUCACAUCUGUUUGUUUAAAUCUCUGUCCGUUGUUAAAGAAAUUUCCCUUUGUUC
rnacentral:lncRNA from 1 species